UACGUAGGGGGCGAGCGUUGUCCGGAAUCAUUGGGCGUAAAGCGCGUGUAGGCGGCCCGAUAAGUCUGGUGUGAAAUCCCGAGGCUCAACCUCGGACUGUCACUGGAUACUGUCGGGCUAGAGUCCGGAAGAGGAGAGUGGAAUUCCUGGUGUAGCGGUGGAAUGCGCAGAUAUCAGGAGGAACACCAAUGGCGAAGGCAGCUCUCUGGUACGUGACUGACGCUGAGACGCGAAAGCGUGGGGAGCGAACAGG
rnacentral:misc_RNA from 1 species